rnacentral:rRNA from 1 species
CCUACGGGAGGCUGCAGUGAGGAAUAUUGGUCAAUGGACGAGAGUCUGAACCAGCCAAGUAGCGUGAAGGAUGACUGCCCUAUGGGUUGUAAACUUCUUUUAUAUGGGAAUAAAACGUUCCACGUGUGGGAUUUUGUAUGUACCAUAUGAAUAAGGAUCGGCUAACUCCGUGCCAGCAGCCGCGGUAAUACGGAGGAUCCGAGCGUUAUCCGGAUUUAUUGGGUUUAAAGGGAGCGUAGGUGGAUUGUUAAGUCAGUUGUGAAAGUUUGCGGCUCAACCGUAAAAUUGCAGUUGAAACUGGCAGUCUUGAGUACAGUAGAGGUGGGCGGAAGUCGUGGUGUAGCGGUGAAAUGCUUAGAGAUCACGAAGAACUCCGAUUGCGAAGGCAGUUCACUGGACUGCAACUGACACUGAGGCUCGAAAGUGUGGGUAUCAAACAGGAUUAGAUACCCGAGUAGUC